rnacentral:lncRNA from 1 species
UCACGAAAAUAGGGGCCAAGGAGCAGAUAUCUCAGCAGGGUUCAUAGCAGCACAGGCUGUCUCAUCACUGCAGAUAGCAGAAAAUUUGCCCAAGGAUUCAAUUUCUGGUCAGAGAGCUGCAACCAUCAUAAAUACGAUGUUGGGAGGGAAUAAUUUGCAUGACAAAGUCAAUCUCUAUAAUGUUUUCUAACUGCAUGAUCUGGUAAACUUGUAUAUAUAUGUCUUCAGUGUGCUUUUUGUUUGUUAAUGAGCUGCCCUUGAUAUUGAAUCUGUUUGCCCAUCUCUAUAAUGAUUUCAAGAGCGGUACCUAUGUUUUCAUAUUUGGACCUCUUAAAGGGCAAGCCCUUGGCCUUUUAAGGGUGAGAUGCAACAGGAAAUCGCUUUCUGUUAGAACCUGUCCUUAUGAUUGACUUAUUACUGAUGCAGGAACAGUUUUGUUGUUUCUAAGCAAUAUCUGGGAUAUAAAACAAUAUCCGGGAUAUAAAACUUGAACCUCCCCAAAGGUAAACCCUUGGAGAUGAGGUGUAAAGAGCAACAGCUGCCUAUUGGAACAUGUCUUCAUGAUAGGCUUAUUACUAAAAACGUCUCUCCAUAUAUAACAAGAGCAUGCUAAUCCCCUCUUUGGUGUUCCAAUUUCAUCAUAGAUGUCUCUUCCAAGAGAUCCAUAGAAUACUAAAUUUUAUCCUGCCAAUUUCAAAAUAGAGAAAGAAACAAAUACGUCAUAUUUACAAAUGAUAAAAUUUGGUACAUUUUAUUGAAUAUACUUCAAACGUAUUAACAAUUGAUAUCACAACCAACACAUUAAAUGCUUCUCAACUUGGAUAAACCAUAUGCAUUAAAUCUGCCAAAUAUUACUGCAGGGCAACCUCCGGUUUAUCGUAUGGAAGCUACCAACCGUACUGGCCGUUACACCGCCAAACCUUCCCCGAGUGGCUUAACAGAUGUUCUUACAACAGUACAAAAAUUCUGCCUUCUUUCUUAAGUAAUCCUAAAUUCCAUUAGCCUAGAGAUGUCUUUAUCCUUUGCUCUGUGCCCUACCUCUCCUUUUAUAUUUCCCUUCCUGACAAUUCAUCAGGCACUCAGCAAUCAACCAAAUGUUUCUGCACCAAAUUUUCAUAUCAUCCAACAUUCACUGCAGAAUGCCUUCUCCUUUCCAUCCAACCUCCGCUUCAUGUAACACUUUAUAAAAAUAUUUAUAGCAGUUCCUUUCAACCACCCUGUGCUGCACCUCGAUUGCUCUUAAACUAGAGAGAUGGUGUUAGAAUUUAACAUCUCGAGAUUCGGUCCAUAUUGAACCUACAGCGAAAUUCGCGAUGAAAAAUUGAAUCCAACGAUACCAAGAUCACCUCAAAUAGAGUCUGGAUGGCCGAAAUACGUACUUUUGAAGCUUGCACGAAACUCGAGGCGAUGGAAGAUUGUCGGCGGCCGGCGGUGGGCCGGCAGAGCGGCGGCGGCGUGGCCGCAGUAGGCGGGAUGCCGCCCAGUGUGUGGCAGUGCAUGGGCCAGACGCGCAGGGUGCGGCCCGACGCGGGCGUGCGGUCCGGGCCCAGGCAUCCGAUGCGGGCGAGGCCCAGGCCCGUGCGCCCAGGCCGGCCCAGGCCUAAGCGCUGCGCUUGGGGCCUGUACCCUAGUCCACCAUGGACCGGGUGGUCCACAGCCCAGUGCGUGGACUGCAUGGGUAUUUUUCAUGCAUUUCAUGCGGUCCACGAUACUAUUUCAUAGAUCAACGUGCGAUCAGAGGGCAUGGGUGACUUGCUGUCUUAAUCCAACGGCUUGAGAGUUAUUUGGAUAGAUUUAGGACUCAUAAUCAUGAUCUAAUUUGUGUUUAAGGCUUUUAAAAGGCCUGUGCGUGAACAGAGAAUGGUGGUUGUGGUUUGAUUUUUCUCACGGAAAACCCGUGAGACCUGUGGGCGUGCGGCACGAAGAUCAAAACCCGAGAGAAGAGAGAGAGCCGUACGCUAGGAGAGGAGUAGGGCUCUUAGACAGCGGACAACGAUCGCUUCAGGAGUUCAAAGGGGUCUUCCAAGAGAAAGAGCUUUUGUGAGGGAGAACUUCUUGUGAGGGAGAAAUUGGGUGUAUGAGGGUUGAGGGUUGAGGGUGAGAUCUCUUCUUGUAAAUUUUUUUUUUAUAGUGAAGUUGCAUGUCCCAUGGAGGCAAGCCAUUUUGUGGCUGAUCCACGUAUUUUGAUUAUUUUUUAUUUUGUUUCUUCUUUCUUCCUGCUUCAUCGUACAGUACCGAAAAGAUCUUGGGAGGUGGUGUCAUGGUCAGACAUCCACCCAACAAGUGGUAUCAGAACGAGGUGGUACAAGGAUGCAAAUUGCAGCGAUAGUGAGCANNNNNNNNNNNNNNNNNNNNUGUAUGAGGGUUGAGGGUUGAGGGUGAGAUCUCUUCUUGUAAAUUUUUUUUUUAUAGUGAAGUUGCAUGUCCCAUGGAGGCAAGCCAUUUUGUGGCUGAUCCACGUAUUUUGAUUAUUUUUUAUUUUGUUUCUUCUUUCUUCCUGCUUCAUCGUACAGUACCGAAAAGAUCUUGGGAGGUGGUGUCAUGGUCAGACAUCCACCCAACAAGUGGUAUCAGAACGAGGUGGUACAAGGAUGCAAAUUGCAGCGAUAGUGAGCAAGACUGAAGAUGGAGAAGACAGGAUCAAUCAAUAUAGAGAUCAACAAGUUUAAUGGGAAGAGUAAUUUUUUCUUGUGGCAGGCAAGGGUGAAGGACGUGCUCAUCCAAUAGGGGUUGAUCGAUACUCUCUUGUGCGAAGAAAAGCCAACCAUCAUAGAGGUGCGGGAUUGAAAAUGAUUACAGAUGCAGGUGGUAAGUACCAUCCGUAUGUACCUAGCAGAUGAGGUGGUGAUCUAUAUAUUGAGCAAAACUUCCCCGACGGUGCUGUGGUCGAAGCUCGAAGAGUUGUACAUGACGAAGUCUCUCACCAACACUUUUUUUCUCUGAAUGCAGUUUUACCAGCUGCGGAUGGCUGAGGGAUAGAGCAUGCAGGAGCAUCUAAGCCACUUCCAAAAGAUCAUCACCGACCUCCUCAGUGUUGGUGAGAAUGUUGAAGAGAAGAUUAGGGCACUGGUUUUGCUAGCGUCGUUUUUCCCUCCGUACGAGUCCUUGAUGACUGCUCUUUUAGCGGAGAAGAGCACUAUCAAGAUGGAUGAGGUCACCGCGACGAUACUCCAGAACGAGGUUCUCAAGAGGAAGAAUCCGGUUUUGAGCUCAGGUGGCGGUAGCUCAGCUUUGGUGGCUUCUGAAGAAGCAGGAGGUGGUAGACGGAGCGACAGGAGAUCGUAACGAAGGUGGUCCAAGUCCAGGAGGGACUUGAGCAAUGUCAGGUAUUACCGGUGUGAGGAGUUGGGGCAUCUAGCUAGAGAUUACCCUCAACUCAAAAAUCGGACGGUGACUGCUUUAGUGAUGGCCGACAGCGAUUCAGAUGGAGAUAUCCUGGAGAUAUCUGAUGAGGUAUUUACUUCUUUCCAGUAGUGGAUAUUAGAUUCUGCAUGCCUCUAUCAUGUAUGUUGCAGAGAAGAGCAGUUUGACUCCUUAGAGAAUAGUGAGGGUAAUGUAUAUCUGCUGGAUGGAUCGAGCUGUGCGAUCAAAGGCAUUGGAAUAGUCAGCUGGAAGACACAUGAUGGUGCAGUGAGGAGAUUGGGGCAGGUCCGAUACAUAUCCAAUUUCAGACAGAAUCUUAUCUCACCUAGCAGACUGGAUUCGAGAGGCUACAGGACGGUAGCUGGUGGAGGAAUCCUAAGGGUGCUACGAGGCGAUAGGAUUGUGCUAGAGGAGAAGAAGGGGAGCAGAGGACAUUAUUACCUGACGGAGAGUCCAGUGCGAGGUGAAGCUUCGGGAGCCAGGUGGAGCCCAGAGUGAGAUAGAGCUCCAAGUGUAGAUGGAUCGGGCACGAGACAGGAGACUUGGGAGGACGAGAGGCGACGUCGCAAGGUGAGAUUUCUAUUAUCGCAGGAUGAUGCUCCGAAUAGGUCUCAAGUCAGGAGGAGUACAGCAUAUGACCGAGAUGGGAUCGAGCGGCCUGGCUUAACUCUCAUGUUUGCCCAUCCAUGAUCAGCAGGCGAUUGCCUCAGGACAUGGGGACAAGAAGAUCCAGAAGCUCUCGGAGUUAGGAGGAGGUCAAAUGUCGAGUCGAGAUGGAGAUUGUUAGGAUUUGACGUCUCGAGAUUCAAUCCAUAUUGAGCCCACAGCGAAGUUCGCGAUGAAAAAUGGAGUCCAACGAGAUCAAGAUCACCUCAAACGGAGUCCGAAUGGCGAGAUACAUACUUUUGAAGCUUGCACGAAAUUUGAGGGAUGGAGGAUAGCCGGCGCCCGGCGGUGGUGCUGCCGUAGGAGGUGGGACUCCGCCAAGCGCACGACAGUGUGCGGGCCAAGCGCGCAGGGUGCGGCUCGGCACAGGGCGCGAGGUGCGCGGCCAGGGCCCAGGCGCCCGGUGCGAGUAUGGCCCAGGACCGCGCGUGUGGGCCAGCCCAAGCGCUGUGCCUGGGGCCUGUACCCCGAUCCACCGUGGACCGUAUGGGCAUUUUUCACAUAUUUCGCACGGUCCACGGUACUAUUUCGCGGACCGACAUGCGAUCGGAGGACGUGGGUGGCUUGCGAUCUUGAUCCAACAGCUUGGGAGUUAUUUGGAUAGGUUUAGAACUCCUAAUCAUGAUCUAAUUUGUAUUUAAGACCUUUAAAAGGCCUAUGCGUGAACAGAGAAGGGUGGUUGUGGCUUGAUUUUUCUCACAGAAAACCCGUGAGGCCUGUGGACGUGCGGCGUGAAUAUCAGAACUCGAGAGAAGAGAGAGAGCCGUACGCUGGGAGAGAAGGAGCAUGGCUCUUGAACAGCGGACAGCGGUCGUUUCAGAGGUUCAGAGAGGUCUUCCAAGAGAGAGAAUUUUUGUGAAGAAAACUUCAUGUGAGGGAGAAAUUAAGUGUACGAAGGUUGAAGUUGAAAUCUCCUCUUAUAAAAAUUUUUUUCAUAGAGAAGUUUGCUUGUUCUGUGAAAGCGAAUCCUUUUAUGACUGGUCCACGUAUUUUGAUUUUUUUUUUUUCUUUAUGUUGCAUCAUGCAGUAUCAAGAAGAUCUUGAGAAAUGAUAUCUUGAUCAGACAUCCACUAAACAGAUGAUUCCAUCAUCAAAACAAAAAAACAGUAACAUACCUCAAGAGGACGGCGGACAUUCCGUCCAAACCAUGCUCCAAGUUCAACAUGGCCAGCUUUGCCUCGUUCUGAGAAGAAUUCUACACUUUCCUCUCUUUCUGAUGUAGCUCGAGAAUUCUAUUCAUGUAUCAAUGACAAGCGCCUGAAUCAAAUCAGUGUUCAUUUCAGAUAACUCCAGUUUUGAGCAUAUGCCGUAUUUCUAACCAUCAGAAGGAAACGUCACAUACUCUCGACCAUCCAAACUCCCUGUUCUCUCUUCAAUUUGUGUGCUCAACAGAUAUGCACUAAACAAUUCUAACAUCUGCGCUUUGCAUGCAGACGACCCACCAGUUCUUUAAAGAACGAAAAGUAUAACAUUGUAUUAUAAUAUCACAAUGUUGCAGAUUGGCAUGGUCAACUCAUAUUCUUCACCAAAGGCUGCAGCAACUAAUAAAUGCUCGUGGGAAGACGAAAAGGUGCUUAUCAGGUAGCCACAAUACUCAUUUAUGCCUCCACAAUGAGCAACGGGCACUUGAGUUUUAUGAUCCCAGCAAGCACAAUCUUUUUUCAUCCAAUGUUUGACAUGCUCACAUGUAUUGCAAGGCAGCUUGUCUUUGGUGAGUCACCAUUGAAACCAGGACAUCAGAGCUGGCAAGCCUAUGAAAUCAGAUAGUAGUUUACAUGCUCAGGGUCUCAAUG